rnacentral:piRNA from 1 species
UGACCGCAGUUCUGGUUCCGGAAUU